rnacentral:rRNA from 1 species
AGGGUGACAGCCCCGUACACAAAAAUGCACAUGCUGUGAGCUCGAUGAGUAGGGCGGGACACGUGGUAUCCUGUCUGAAUAUGGGGGGACCAUCCUCCAAGGCUAAAUACUCCUGACUGACCGAUAGUGAACCAGUACCGUGAGGGAAAGGCGAAAAGAACCCCGGCGAGGGGAGUGAAAAAGAACCUGAAACCGUGUACGUACAAGCAGUGGGAGCACGCUUAGGCGUGUGACUGCGUACCUUUUGUAUAAUGGGUCAGCGACUUAUAUUCUGUAGCAAGGUUAACCGAAUAGGGGAGCCGAAGGGAAACCGAGUCUUAACUGGGCGUUAAGUUGCAGGGUAUAGACCCGAAACCCGGUGAUCUAGCCAUGGGCAGGUUGAAGGUUGGGUAACACUAACUGGAGGACCGAACCGACUAAUGUUGAAAAAUUAGCGGAUGACUUGUGGCUGGGGGUGAAAGGCCAAUCAAACCGGGAGAUAGCUGGUUCUCCCCGAAAGCUAUUUAGGUAGCGCCUCGUGAAUUCAUCUCCGGGGGUAGAGCACUGUUUCGGCAAGGGGGUCAUCCCGACUUACCAACCCGAUGCAAACUGCGAAUACCGGAGAAUGUUAUCACGGGAGACACACGGCGGGUGCUAACGUCCGUCGUGAAGAGGGAAACAACCCAGACCGCCAGCUAAGGUCCCAAAGUCAUGGUUAAGUGGGAAACGAUGUGGGAAGGCCCAGACAGCCAGGAUGUUGGCUUAGAAGCAGCCAUCAUUUAAAGAAAGCGUAAUAGCUCACUGGUCGAGUCGGCCUGCGCGGAAGAUGUAACGGGGCUAAACCAUGCACCGAAGCUGCGGCAGCGACGCUGAUGCGUUGUUGGGUAGGGGAGCGUUCUGUAAGCCUGCGAAGGUGUGCUGUGAGGCAUGCUGGAGGUAUCAGAAGUGCGAAUGCUGACAUAAGUAACGAUAAAGCGGGUGAAAAGCCCGCUCGCCGGAAGACCAAGGGUUCCUGUCCAACGUUAAUCGGGGCAGGGUGAGUCGACCCCUAAGGCGAGGCCGAAAGGCGUAGUCGAUGGGAAACAGGUUAAUAUUCCUGUACUUGGUGUUACUGCGAAGGGGGGACGGAGAAGGCUAUGUUGGCCGGGCGACGGUUGUCCCGGUUUAAGCGUGUAGGCUGGUUUUCCAGGCAAAUCCGGAAAAUCAAGGCUGAGGCGUGAUGACGAGGCACUACGGUGCUGAAGCAACAAAUGCCCUGCUUCCAGGAAAAGCCUCUAAGCAUCAGGUAACAUCAAAUCGUACCCCAAACCGACACAGGUGGUCAGGUAGAGAAUACCAAGGCGCUUGAGAGAACUCGGGUGAAGGAACUAGGCAAAAUGGUGCCGUAACUUCGGGAGAAGGCACGCUGAUAUGUAGGUGAAGUCCCUCGCGGAUGGAGCUGAAAUCAGUCGAAGAUACCAGCUGGCUGCAACUGUUUAUUAAAAACACAGCACUGUGCAAACACGAAAGUGGACGUAUACGGUGUGACGCCUGCCCGGUGCCGGAAGGUUAAUUGAUGGGGUUAGCCGCAAGGCGAAGCUCUUGAUCGAAGCCCCGGUAAACGGCGGCCGUAACUAUAACGGUCCUAAGGUAGCGAAAUUCCUUGUCGGGUAAGUUCCGACCUGCACGAAUGGCGUAAUGAUGGCCAGGCUGUCUCCACCCGAGACUCAGUGAAAUUGAACUCGCUGUGAAGAUGCAGUGUACCCGCGGCAAGACGGAAAGACCCCGUGAACCUUUACUAUAGCUUGACACUGAACAUUGAGCCUUGAUGUGUAGGAUAGGUGGGAGGCUUUGAAGUGUGGACGCCAGUCUGCAUGGAGCCGACCUUGAAAUACCACCCUUUAAUGUUUGAUGUUCUAACGUUGACCCGUAAUCCGGGUUGCGGACAGUGUCUGGUGGGUAGUUUGACUGGGGCGGUCUCCUCCUAAAGAGUAACGGAGGAGCACGAAGGUUGGCUAAUCCUGGUCGGACAUCAGGAGGUUAGUGCAAUGGCAUAAGCCAGCUUGACUGCGAGCGUGACGGCGCGAGCAGGUGCGAAAGCAGGUCAUAGUGAUCCGGUGGUUCUGAAUGGAAGGGCCAUCGCUCAACGGAUAAAAGGUACUCCGGGGAUAACAGGCUGAUACCGCCCAAGAGUUCAUAUCGACGGCGGUGUUUGGCACCUCGAUGUCGGCUCAUCACAUCCUGGGGCUGAAGUAGGUCCCAAGGGUAUGGCUGUUCGCCAUUUAAAGUGGUACGCGAGCUGGGUUUAGAACGUCGUGAGACAGUUCGGUCCCUAUCUGCCGUGGGCGCUGGAGAACUGAGGGGGGCUGCUCCUAGUACGAGAGGACCGGAGUGGACGCAUCACUGGUGUUCGGGUUGUCAUGCCAAUGGCACUGCCCGGUAGCUAAAUGCGGAAGAGAUAAGUGCUGAAAGCAUCUAAGCACGAAACUUGCCCCGAGAUGAGUUCUCCCUGACUCCUUGAGAGUCCUGAAGGAACGUUGAAGACGACGACGUUGAUAGGCCGGGUGUGUAAGCGCAGCGAUGCGUUGAGCUAACCGGUACUAAUGAACCGUGAGGCUUAACCUUACAACGCCGAAGCUGUU